rnacentral:ncRNA from 1 species
GGUAGUAGCGAAUAUUCAAACGAGAACUUUAAAGGCCGUAGUGGCGAAGGGUUCGAUGUGAACACCAGUCGAACAUGGGUCAGUCAGUCCUAAGAGAUGGGCGAAGGCCGUUCGGAAGGGUGGGGCGUGCCUACGUCGCCCCUGGCAAAUCGAAAGGGAGCCGGGUUCAGAUCCCUGGACCUGGAGUGGCGGAGACAGGCGCCCAGUGCGGCGAUGCAAACGAUUCCGAGCGAAGCUGGGGUGUGCCCGCGUUUCGGCGUGGGUCCCUCGGGCC